GUGGAGAUGGCUCAGUGGUUAAGAGCACUGACUGCUCUUCCAGAGGUCCUGAGUUCAAUUCCCAGCACCCACG
rnacentral:tRNA from 2 species